rnacentral:rRNA from 1 species
AACGCGAAGAACCUUACCCGGGCUUGAAAUAUAACGGACAUACGGUGAAAGCCGUAUUUCCUUCGGGACUGUUAUACAGGUGCUGCAUGGCUGUCGUCAGCUCGUGCCGUGAGGUGUUCGGUUAAGUCCGGCAACGAACGCAACCCCUGUGUCCAGUUGCCAGCGGGCAGAGCCGGGGACUCUGGACAGACCGCCCGUUCACGCGGGAGGAAGGUGGGGACGACGUCAAGUCAGUAUGGCCCUUACGCCCAGGGCUGCACACGUGCUACAAUGGCCGGCACAAAGGGAGGCGACGCCGCGAGGCGGAGCGGAUCCCCAAAACCGGCCCCAGUUCGGAUCGGGGUCUGCAACCCGACCCCGUGAAGCCGGAUUUGCUAGUAACGGCGUAUCAGCUACGGCGCCGUGAAUACGUUCCCGGGUCUUGUACACACCGA